UUACCUUCUGAGGCAAAACGUUUUAUUUUGGCUUGUAUAUAUAAAUCAUGAUGUUAAAAUCAUUGCUUGUUUCUGGAAUGGAAGCAUUGCCGAUUUCUCAGAAGAAAAUUAUGUUAAUGAGUAUGUCCGUUUGCAUUGUUCCUACUUCAGUCUUGUGGCAAUACAACCAGCUCUAUGACAGCUUCUCCUUAUUUCAGCCACGCAGAGCACCACUUACUGCAUAGGAUAAUUUUGUACUCUAGGCACCGCCCUUUUCUUAAGUGAGUUACUAAGAAGAGUGACAUGGUCUAAAGCUGGCAGUGAAAACGCCGUGUGCUGUUGAUAUCAUGGAUUGGGCUUUUUCUUAGACUCACUAGAGUAGUGAAAUAGUGAAAUGCCACCAGAUAGUUUCCUGAUGACAUAAAUACAGGGUGCAGUAGUGAUUGCAAGAACUGGAUGAAAUGGCAGUCAGAAGCACAGAGCCGGGAUCUCUCAAUGGUGGAACAGACUUCACACUGGGAUAGCCUACAGCUGAGGCCUCUCAGAGACACAGAGGAGUCAGGGAUGGAGUUCUGAUCGAGCGAUGCAUCCCUGCCACACCCACAAAGGUGGCAGAAGGUGAUGGCAGCAGGUCCAAGAGUGGAGUUGCUGGAACUCAUCUUAGGUCUCAUACUCAGGAGGUGACUCUGUGUAAGAACAUGGGAGAGGAAAAAACACAGUGACCCCUUGAGAAAUGUGAUUAUUUAAGAUUCAGGCCUGUUGGGGAAUGUUGGGAGUCACUUUUCCUAAAGCACCAACAGGAAGUUGAUUAUACUUUUGACCCUUGUGGAAACGGUAGAAAGAGGGGCAGAAUCAUGGAGUUGGUCUGGUCUAGCAGCCUUGAGAGGCAUGCGUCACAGAUUUUCAGGUUUAGGGUCUGUGGUUCCUGAGGACUCUAUGCCUUUAAGUUCCUGAGAAACCGAGGCACUCCCUCAGACAAUGGCACAUUCUGGCUGCCUGUGUUUCUCUGUGUUCCCUAGAAUUCAGCAAGGUUUAUAGAGACUUGAUAGGACAAUUGUCCUUAGACAUUAAUCUUUUGUACCCUGUAGAGAUGGCAAACAUCAUUGUAUCCUGGUGCUGCCAUUAUAUUCUGAUAAGGGUAUAAAACCUCUGAUUGCAUGCAA